rnacentral:rRNA from 1 species
AGUGAACGCUGGCGGUAGGCCUAACACAUGCAAGUCGAACGGCAGCACAGUAAGAGCUUGCUCUUACGGGUGGCGAGUGGCGGACGGGUGAGGAAUACAUCGGAAUCUACUUUUUCGUGGGGGAUAACGUAGGGAAACUUACGCUAAUACCGCAUACGACCUACGGGUGAAAGCAGGGGAUCUUCGGACCUUGCGCGAUUGAAUGAGCCGAUGUCGGAUUAGCUAGUUGGCGGGGUAAAGGCCCACCAAGGCGACGAUCCGUAGCUGGUCUGAGAGGAUGGUCGGCCAAACUGAAACUGGGACACGUUCCGGACCCCAAGGGGAGGCAGCAGUGGGGAAUAUUGGACAAGGGGCGAAAGCCUGUCCCGGCCAAACCGGGUGGGUGAAGAAGGCCUUCGGGUUGUAAGCCCUUUUGUUGGGAAAGAAAAGCAGCAGGUUAAUACCCCGCUGUUCUGACGGUACCCAAAGAAUAAGCACCGGCUAACUUCGUG